rnacentral:rRNA from 1 species
AUUGCACGCUGGCGGCAGGCUUAACACAUGCAAGUCGAGCGAGUGGCGGACGGGUGAGUAAUGUCUGGGAAACUGCCUGAUGGAGGGGGAUAACUACUGGAAACGGUAGCUAAUACCGAAUACCAACGGGUGUUGCCCGAGGGUAUUAGCGAGUAGGUGGGGUAAAGGCUCACCUAGGCGAAGAUCCCUAGCUGGUCUGAGAGGAUGACCAGCAACACUGUAACUGAGACAAGGUCCAGACUCCUACGGGAGGCAGCAGUUGGGAAUAUUGCACAAGGGGCGCAAGCCUGAUGCAGCCAUGCCGGGUGUAUGAAGAAGGUCUUCGGGUUGUAAAGUACUUUCAGCGGGGAGGCGUUACCCGCAGAAGAAGCACCGGCUAACUCCGUGCCAGCAGCCGCGGUAAUUC